UGUGUGUGUGUGUGUGUGUGUGUGUGUGUGUGUGUGCUAAAAGGCAACCCGCUUAAAAAACCUGCACCGCGCGACAC
rnacentral:miRNA from 1 species